rnacentral:rRNA from 1 species
GACGAACGCUGGCGGCGUGCUUAACACAUGCAAGUCGAACGGAAAGGCCCUGCUUUUGUGGGGUGCUCGAGUGGCGAACGGGUGAGUAACACGUGAGUAACCUGCCCUUGACUUUGGGAUAACUUCAGGAAACUGGGGCUAAUACCGGAUAGGAGCUCCUGCUGCAUGGUGGGGGUUGGAAAGUUUCGGCGGGUGGGGAUGGACGCGCGGCUUAUCAGCUUGUUGGUGGGGUAGUGGCUUACCAAGGCUUUGACGGGUAGCCGGCCUGAGAGGGUGACCGGCCACAUUGGGACUGAGAUACGGCCCAGACUCCUACGGGAGGCAGCAGUGGGGAAUAUUGCACAAUGGGCGGAAGCCUGAUGCAGCAACGCCGCGUGCGGGAUGACGGCCUUCGGGUUGUAAACCGCUUUCGCCUGUGACGAAGCGUGAGUGACGGUAAUGGGUAAAGAAGCACCGGCUAACUACGUG